GAGAAGGGGGGUGACCUGUGUGUGGCUGGAAAGCUCAUCUUUCUCACCAACAGAAGUUGGUCCAAUAAAAGAUAUUACCUCCCCCACUU